UACGUAGGCAGCGAGCGUUGUUCGGAAUUACUGGGCGGAAAGAGUGUGUAGGCGGUGUUCCCAGUCUGUUGUGAAAUCUCCCGGCUUAACUGGGAGGGUGCAGCGGAAACUAGAAUGCUAGAGGGUGGGAGAGGUAAGCGGAAUUCCUGGUGUAGCGGUGAAAUGCGUAGAUAUCAGGAGGAACACCUGUGGUGUAGACAGCUUACUGGACCACUUCUGACGCUGAGACACGAAAGCGUGGGUAGCAAACAGG
rnacentral:rRNA from 1 species